rnacentral:misc_RNA from 1 species
UCCGAGUUGUCCCCGGCAGUCCCAUUAGAGUCCCCGACUUUACUCGCUGGCAACUAAUGGCAGGGGUUGCGCUCGUUGCGGCACUUAAGCCAACACCUCACGGCACGAGCUGACGACAGCCACGCAGCACCUGUGCUGGCUCCCCUUGCGAGGUCAUCCCCGUUUCCGGUUCUUACCACCAGCAUGUCAAACCUGGGUAAGGUACUUCGCGUUGCGUCGAAUUGAACCACAUGCACCACCGCUUGUGCGGGCCCCCGUCAAUUCCUUUGAGUUUCAGCCUUGCGGCCGUACUCCCCAGGCGGGGUACUUCCUGCGUUAGCGCCGGCACCCAAGGGGUCGCUCCCCCAGGCACCUAGUACCCAUCGUUUACGGCUAGGACUAC